rnacentral:rRNA from 1 species
AGCAGCCGCGGUAAUUCCAGCUCCAAUAGCGUAUAUUAAAGUUGUUGCAGUUAAAAAGCUCGUAGUUGAAUUUCGGGAUCAAGUCGUCGGUCGUGCCUCGGUACGCACUGGUGACAUUGGUUUCUCCCUUCUGAAGAACCUUGAUGUCAUUAAUUUGGUGUCUUGGGGAAUCAGGACUGUUACUUUGAAAAAAUUAGAGUGUUUAAAGCAGGCUCACGCUUGAAUACAUUAGCAUGGAAUAAUGAAAUAGGACGUUUGAUUCUAUUUUGUUGGUUUCUAGGAUCGACGUAAUGAUUAAUAGGGAUAGUUGGGGGCAUUAGUAUUCAAUUGUCAGAGGUGAAAUUCUUGGAUUUAUUGAAGACUAACUACUGCGAAAGCAUUUGCCAAGGAUGUUUUCAUUAAUCAAGAACGAAAGUUAGGGGAUCGAAGACGAUCAGAUACCGUCGUAGU